AACUGGUCCAAGUACUCAUAUUUACAGCUAAUUGAUCACAACCAGUUACAGACUUCUUUGUUCCUUCUCCACUCCCACUGCUUCACUUGACUGAAAA
ensembl:misc_RNA Y_RNA Y RNA